rnacentral:rRNA from 1 species
GACGGGGGGUCCUAGCGUUGUUCGGAAUCAUUGGGCGUAAAGCGGGCGUAGGUGGCUAUGUAAGUCAGGAGUGAAAGCCCUGGGCUCAACCCAGGAAGUGCUUUUGAAACUGCGUAGCUUGAGUGUGGAAGAGGAUAGUGGAAUUCCUGGUGUAGUGGUGAAAUACGUAGAUAUCAGGAGGAACACCGGCGGCGAAGGCGGCUAUCUGGUCCAACACUGACACUGAGGCCCGAAAGCGUGGGGAUCAAACAGG